rnacentral:lncRNA from 1 species
GCUGGGUGGAAACAGGAAGUGAGAUGGCUGGGAGAAGAGAAAACAUAAGAGGGAAGAAACAGGGCAAAGGAGACCAAUUUGGAACUCCUGUUUACAUUUUGGUGCUCAACAAGGCCAGAACAUUAACAUCAGGACAGGGGCAAAUUGCCCCACAUGGACCCCUGAGAAAGCCACCAGCUCUCGUGGACUUGCUCAUUCAAAAUGCAAAAGUUGGACAACAUUCGGACAAGUCAGACCAGAGGAGCUUCAGUGUCAUUGGACUUCCUUUGGCAGCACACCUAUGA